AGGUGUUUGAACUAUAUUGCAGCCCGUAAUAGGGUAGCUAUAUCCUGUUUUGAAAGGAAGACGUGCGCUAACUUUUCACGUCGGUCGAAUUACUAAUGACGUUCAGUUUGGCAAUGGCGGUGCCCGUUUUAACGCGUUUUCCUUCAAGAAGAUGGAAACAAAGUGUUCACUACACAGGGGAUGCCCACCGGUAAAUGGGAGCUAAUUCCGGAGGUAUUCCAGUUCUUGUGGAUCAAUGAGUACUCGGAGCUGCUUUUGGAGUCGAAUUGGAUUUAUCACUUCUUUUUACAUCCAUCACUGCACCUAGGUUAGUUGUGUAUAAAGCAUAAGUUACUUGAGUGUCAACCACAAACUUCCUCCUAAGACAAUCCUUUGCAAAUUAAGAACAAAUUGCCUUGCAAUAUUUAAUUAUUCAUUUUAUAACCAUACAGAGUUUAUGUAUUUUCCUGAAAACAAGUCCUGUCGUUUUAUUUGAUGUAUGAUUCGAAAUAUGUCAAUCUACGUCUAUCGAUCCCAUAAUUUUCCGUGAGUCCAUCCCUGCUUCCAUUUUCGGUGGACUAAAUUCGGGUCUGCUAGAUUGAGCAGAUAGUGGUUUUUCUGUCCUAAUUCAAUGUAAUGAACUUAAUCUUGCUGACUGUAUAGUUUUGUUUUCACUUGUUUUCAAUGUAAUAUCACACUAUAUUAGCAUUUCGCCCUGACUAUUUUAACAGUGAAAGCCAACUAAGUUUAUAAAAUUCUA